GGGGAAGGAUGAGAAGCUUCGACCAAGGUUCGACUUGAGCGCCAGCGAGAGAGCGUUGCCGCAGGCAACGACCCGAAGGGCGAAGCGCGCAGCGCUGAGUAAUCCUUCCCCCACCACCA
rnacentral:sRNA from 2 species